CAAGAAGUAGUUUAAAAAACACUAAUUUUGGGAAUUAGAGAUCAAAUUUUUUUGCUUCUUGA
rnacentral:tRNA from 1 species